rnacentral:rRNA from 1 species
GAUGAACGCUGGCGGCGUGCCUAAUGCAUGCAAGUCGAACGAAUCUUCUUCGGAAGAUGAGUGGCGAACGGGUGAGUAAUACAUAGGUAACCUGCCCCUGUGCGGGGGAUAACAGGAGGAAACUCCUGCUAAUACCGCAUAGCCAUGAGCACCGCAUGGAGCUCAUGCCAAAUAUCCUUUCGGGGAUAGCGCAGGGAUGGACCUAUGGCGCAUUAGCUGGUUGGCGGGGCAACGGCCCACCAAGGCAACGAUGCGUAGCCGGCCUGAGAGGGCGGACGGCCACAUUGGGACUGAGACACGGCCCAGACUCCUACGGGAGGCAGCAGUAGGGAAUUUUCGGCAAUGGGGGAAACCCUGACUGAGCAACGCCGCGUGAGCGAAGAAGGCCUUCGGGUCGUAAAGCUCUGUUGUAAAGGAAGAACGGCGCAUACAGGAAAUGGUAUGCGAGUGACGGUACUUUACCAGAAAGCCACGGCUAACUACGUGCCAGCCGCCGCAGUAA